CGCCUCUUGAUUUUCUAUAAGAGGUCCAGCCUGCCCAGUGACCAUGUUCAACGGCCGCGGUAUCCUAACCGUGCGAAGGUAGCGUAAUCACUUGUUCUUUAAAUGUGGACUAGUAUGAACGGCAUCACGAAGGUUAUACUGUCUCCUUUUUCUAAUCAGUGAAACUAAUCUCCCCGUGAAGAAGCGGGGAUAAAAUUAUAAGACGAGAAGACCCUAUGGAGCUUUAAACAAUACAGCACUUACCUAAAAAUCUUUAAUGUUUCUAUAACACUAACUCUUUAAAGUAAAAUGACUGCAAGUUUUUGGUUGGGGUGACCACGGAGUAUAUCAUAACCUCCAUGUUGAAAGAAUUUUUUCUAAGCCAAGAAUAACCAAUCUAAGCAUUAACAAAUUAACAUCUAUUGACCCAAUAAAUUUGAUCAACGAACCAAGUUACCCUAGGGAUAACAGCGCAAUCCACUUCAAGAGCUCCUAUCGACAAGUGGGUUUACGACCUCGAUGUUGGAUCAGGGUGUCCCAGUGGUGCAGCCGCUACUAAAGGUUCGUUUGUUCAACGAUUAAAACCCUA
rnacentral:rRNA from 1 species